rnacentral:rRNA from 1 species
GACGAACGCUGGCGGCGUGCCUAAUACAUGCAAGUCGAGCGCAGGAAGCUGACGGAACUCUUCGGAGGGAAGGCAGCGGAAUGAGCGGCGGACGGGUGAGUAACACGUAAGGAACCUGCCUCAAGGAUUGGGAUAACUCCGAGAAAUCGGAGCUAAUACCGGAUAGUUCAACGGACCGCAUGGUCCGCUGAUGAAAGGCGCUCCGGCGUCACCUUGAGAUGGCCUUGCGGUGCAUUAGCUAGUUGGUGGGGUAACGGCCCACCAAGGCGACGAUGCAUAGCCGACCUGAGAGGGGGAUCGGCCACACUGGGACUGAGACACGGCCCAGACUCCUACGGGAGGCAGCAGUAGGGAAUCUUCCACAAUGGACGAAAGUCUGAUGGAGCAACGCCGCGUGAGUGAUGAAGGUUUUCGGAUCGUAAAACUCUGUUGUAAGGGAAGAACACGUACGAGAGGAAAUGCUCGUACCUUGACGGUACCUUACGAGAAAGCCACGGCUGACUACGUGCCAGCCGCCGCCGUAA